rnacentral:lncRNA from 1 species
AUUGAGUUUUUAAAAAAAUUCUUAAAAGUUCUAACAACUUCAUGAAAAAAAGAGAUCAAAAUUUUUAUUUUUAGUUUUUUAGACUAAUGACUGGUAUCAUUUCCAGUUUUUCAACCUAAGGAAAUAAAUAAAUAGAGUACUUUUGCACCUGGCUCUCUGCUAGAUGAAAGAAAAAUCAAACAUAACAAGGAAAGUUUGCUGUAGCAAGAGAGACUUGAAGCCAAGGCUGUGUACCAAUUUAUGGUUGGAAUGAAGGGAUUUGGGGGCUACAAAGAAGAGAAGAAUAUUAUUGCUUGAGUGGCUCAGAUGUGAGAAGUGGCUUUUUGGAGAAGGUGACCUGGUUGCUGAGCAGCGGUAGAGGGUGUGCCAAAGUGAGCAAAAUCACACAGCCAUUAGUUGCAAAGACAUAUUUAUGGGUCACUAUUACUGCAGUAUGAGUUGAAGUCGUGUGUGUGUGUGUGUGUGUGUGUGUGUGUGUGUUCAGUGUCACAUGCUCUGUUUUGGCCUCAGGUAGUUCAUGCUCUGCAUUGUCAUCUGCAGAGGGAAGAUUGGAUGAACAGAACAGGUUUUUGAGGCCAGCCGUCCAUGAAACCCAAGUUGCUUAGUGGGGAAGACUCAUAAAUUCUAGUAUGAGUGUGAAGAUGAGCAGAAGGACAUGGUGCUUUGGAUUUAUAGAAACUCAGGAGCAUUUCUGGGGAACGCAUGCCUUCUUACCUGGUCACCUGGUGUCAUCUAUUAUUCCAAGGUUAUAGUUGAGGUCUAAAGUCCUCUUGGGGAUUGACCAAGGUCACACCGUAAGUGACAGAGCUGGUAUUUAACUUCAGCUACUUUGACUCCUUGUCUUGUGUUUUUUCCCCCUUUGCGGUAAUUGAAUUACCUCUGUGUCUAAUUUCAGGCUUGGUGAUUCCCUUUUGCCCUGAGUUUUGUUUGCACCUCCAGCCUGUGUACCGCCUGCUCAGUAAUGAUCUAAUACUUACUGUGUGGGCUUCAGAGUUUAUUUGAUUUGGAGCAACCUGAACGGCCCGUUGGCAAGGACUAAAUAUAAGAUUGUGAACACGGGGACAAGGAUGCAUAUUUCUGGCCAGAGGGGAUCUUGCAAGCUCCGGUAAAAAGCUGCAAAAUCCUGGCAAGAGGUGCUGUAAUGAAAAUGAAUUCUCUAAAUUUAAAUGUUUGUGGUAUAUAAGGUAAAUUCAUAUAAAAGGAGGGAAUACAGAAUUAAAGCAAUGAAGCUUAAUAUUUCUAAUGUGUAGCACCAAUUUAGAAAAAAAAAAAUGAGUUUUUUUGAGUCUGCAAAACUAACGAAUUUUGGAAGAGUCUUGCCCUGACAAUCACACCUAAGAGACAUAAUUUUGCACAAGGCCUGCACCUUGCAGUCUUCAGAAUAGCCUGCUUUUGUUGUUACCUCUCUUGUUUCCUUGCGACAUCCUGUGUUGUGACUGGGCGAUACAUUUUGCUACACUGAUUUUACUGAGGGAGAAACCGCAGCAUGGUGUAGUUGAAAUGACUCAUUCAGUCCCCUAAAAGUGGUCUGUGUGAGAGCCAGGGUUAGGAUUUGGAUCUUCCAUCUUGAAUGCCAUGCUUUGUGUAAAACCCCAUGGUGUACCAAUAUAUCAUUUGGCCCAUUUAAACCACAUGGAUAAUUCAUUUUUCAACACC